rnacentral:rRNA from 1 species
GGCAACCUGCCGUAGAGUGGGGAAUAACCCCGGGAAACCGGGGCUAAUACCGCAUAUUGUGUCGGAUCAUAUGGUUUGACAUGAAAGCCUUCGGGCGCUCUGCGAUGGGCCUGCGUUGGAUUAGCUUGUUGGUAGGGUAAAGGCCUACCAAGGCUGUGAUCCAUAGCUGGUCUGAGAGGACGAUCAGCCACACUGGCACUGAGACACGGGCCAGACGACUACGGUCGGCAGCAGUAAGGAAUAUUGCGCAAUGGACGAAAGUCUGACGCAGCCACGCCGCGUGCAGGAUGACACCCCUAUGGGGCGUAAACUGCUUUUAUGCGAGAAGAAAUCCCCGGACGUGUCCGGGGCCAGACGGUAUCGCACGAAUAAGGACCGGCUAACUCCGUGCCAGCAGCCGCGGUAAUACGGAGGGUCCAAGCGUUGUCCGGAUUCAUUGGGUGUAAAGGGUGCGCAGGCGGGCCUGUAAGUCAGGGGUGAAAUCCCACGGCCUAACCGUGGAACUGCCUUUGAUACUGCAGGUCUUGAGUACUGGAGAGGUCGCCGGAAUUCGUGGUGUAGCGGUGAAAUGCGUAGAUAUCACGAGGAACGCCGGAGGUGUAGACGGGUGACUGGACAGUUACUGACGCUCAGGCACGAAAGCGUGGGGAGCAAACAGGAUUAGAUACCCUGGUAGUCCACGCUGUAAACGAUGGAUACUCGGUGUUGGCCCUCUAUUAUUGGGGCAGCGCCUAAGCUAACGCAUUAAGUAUCCCACCUGGGGAGUACGAUCGCAAGGUUGAAACUCAAAGGAAUUGACGGGGGCCCGCACAAGCGGUGGAGCAUGUGGCUCAAUUCGAUGCAACGCGAGGAACCUUACCUGGGCUCGAACGCUACCGGACAACCCCUGAAAGGGGGUCUUCUUCGGACUGGUAGUGAGGUGCUGCAUGGCUGUCGUCAGUUCGUGUCGUGAGAUGUUGGGUUAAGUCCCGCAACGAACGCAACCCCUAUCGCUAGUUACCAGCGGGUAAUGCCGGGGACUCUAGCGAGACUGCCUGCGCAAGCGGUGAGGAAGGUGGGGAUGACGUCAAGUCAUCAUGGCCUUUAUGCCUAGGGCUGCACACGUGCUACAAUGGUCGGUACAAUGGGCUGCCACUUCGCGAGAAGGAGCUAAUCCUGAAAGCC